UAGGAUUCCCUUAGUAGCUGCGAGCGAACAGGGAUGAGCCCAGCACCGAAUCCCGCGGCCGGCAUCGGGCGCCGGGAAAUGUGGUGUUUGGGAGGGUCCAUUAUCCCGAGAUUAUGCGAUGCGUCCAAGUCCUUCUUGAACGGGGCCACAGCCCAUAGAGGGUGCCAGGCCCGUAGUGACUGUCGCUAAUAGCGGGAGGAUCUCUCCUUAGAGUCGGGUUGCUUGAGAGUGCAGCCCUAAGUGGGUGGUAAACUCCAUCUAAGGCUAAAUAUGACCACGAGACCGAUAGCGAACAAGUACCGUGAGGGAAAGUUGAAAAGCACUUUGAAGAGAGAGUUCAAGAGUACGUGAAACCGUUUAGGGGUAAACCUGAAAAACCCGAAAGGUCGAAGGGAGAAAUUCAUCGCGUGUCGACGGUGACAUCAGACAUUGUUGUGUGACGGAAAUGUGUUUACACAUUUUCGCGCCCUUUGUUUGAUUAAUUGACGAACGCGUGCACUUUUCUCCUGGUAGGACGUCGCGAUCCGUUGGGUGUCGGUCUACGGCUUGCGGUGGAGCCCGUUUGUCAUUAUUGACGAAUGGACCCGCAUUGUUCCCGGCCGACUCGCUCGACGGUAUAAGAAAGGUUAAAGGCCCGCUCGAUUUGGAGCGUUCGACUCGUGGCAAGCGCGCCAGAUGCGUUGGCAAUCGGACCUGGUGCCGUUUCUGACCUCUGGUGACUGUUGGCUACGAUGUUCUCGGACAGACCUCAAGACCGAUCUGCGACGCUAUAGCUUUGGGUACUUUCAGGACCCGUCUUGAAACACGGACCAAGGAGUCUAGCAUGUACGCGAGUCAUUGGGAAUCACUAAACCUAAAGGCGCAAUGAAAGUAAAGGUCUUCCUUGCGGAGACCGAGGGAAGACGGGCGGUUCUACCGUUAAAAGUGGCCGCUCAGCAUUCCCGGGGCGUCUCAUUCUCAUUGCGAGAAGAGGCGCACCAAGAGCGUACACGCUGGGACCCGAAAGAUGGUGAACUAUGCCUGGUCAGGACGAAGUCAGGGGAAACCCUGAUGGAGGUCCGUAGCGAUUCUGACGUGCAAAUCGAUCGUCGGAACUGGGUAUAGGGGCGAAAGACUAAUCGAACCAUCUAGUAGCUGGUUCCCUCCGAAGUUUCCCUCAGGAUAGCUGGCGCUCGUUGUAUACGAGUCUCAUCCGGUAAAGCGAAUGAUUAGAGGCAUUGGGGUCGAAACGACCUCAACCUAUUCUCAAACUUUAAAUGGGUGAAAUCUCCGGCUUGCUCGAACUCAUGAAGCCGCGAGACACGUGGAUCAGAGUGCCAAGUGGGCCAUUUUUG
rnacentral:rRNA from 1 species